ACCCAUGUAGCUCAGUUGGUAGAGCAUGGUGCUUGGAACACCACGGUGGUGGGUUUGAUUCCCAAGGGGG
rnacentral:tRNA from 1 species